rnacentral:lncRNA from 1 species
GGAGGCCAAAAAAAACAAAUAAAUGGUCUCAAAACCUUAGAAUUUAAAGGAAGGAGUCUGAUUGCAUGAGGACGAAAACUAAUGUGAGAUACAUGAUGGUCUUAUGUGUAGGCAACAACAAUCCCACGGGGAAUAAGUUGGCUGGCCAGGGCAAACAGCUUGCGAGCUUAUAUUAAACCAAUUCGGCCGAGCAGUGCUUGUGCAGAGUAUUCAAAGGCUAGUUCUUGAGUACUAACACAACUUAACCUAACAUAUCUCAACUCAUCAACUACAUAGCGACGUCAACAAAUCAUUAGCCAACAACAAUCUAUAUGGCUAUUUAAGUACGGAUAUGUAACAAUCUAGGAUCUCACGCUAGCCGGAAGGCAUUAUUUUGGUUCAUUGAUCCUAUAUAAGUAUCUAAGAUCUGUCUGACGAAUAAUCGAUAUACGACUAAACACACCCCCGUAUGGAUCAUUACAUACUUCCUCCGUUUAAGCUCCAACAUUUUCGUUGGGCUAAGGAUCCAAAUCU